UUCAUAAAUUAGAUUAUUUAUAGCAUUGUACCAACAUUAAACUUACUGUGAGUUAAUGUCCUUGAUCUUUGCACACUAAAGUACUCAGGGUUAAUGGGCAUAAUGACUACAAUGUACUCUCAGAAGUACAGUGAGAAAAAUAAAACUAUAUAUAAAUGUACAUACUGAGAAUGUUAAUUGAUGUAGCUGGGUACGGGUUAUAAAGAGUUCUUUAUACUAUUCUUUUUUUAAUAGAAACAGGGUCUCACUAUGUUGCCCAGGCUGGUCUUGAACUCCUGAUCUCAAGUAAUUUGCCCACUUCGGCCUCCCAAAUGUGCUAGGAUUACAGGUGUGAGCCACAGUGCCUGGCCUAUACUAUUCUUGCAAACUUUGUGUACAUAUAAAAUCCUUUCUAAAUAAUAUUUUAAAGUGUAACUAACUUUAUUGUUUACAUUUUCAGAUUUUUAAAAAUAAAACAAGUUCAUUGUAAAUAUAGGCUACAUACUGAAAGUUAUUAAGUAGAUACACCAAAUCCUCUAUAAUUUCAUGAUCCAUUAAAUCACUAGUAUUCAUUCAUUCAAACUGGCUUUACAUAUACAUAUUUCUUUUUUAAUGGAAUAAUGAAUACGCAAAAGGAAGGUAUAAUAUUGCACAAUCUCUGUGUAAAAAAUGAAAUUUUAUUAGCCGGGUGUGGUUGCGGGGACCUGUAAUCCCAGCUACUCGGGAGGCUGAGUCAGGAGAAUCGCUUGAAUACGGGAGGUGGAGGUUGCAGUGAGCUGAGAUCACGCCACUGCACUCCAGCCUGGUGACAGAAUGAAACUCCAUCUCAAAAAAAAUACAUAGUUUUAAUUUUUCUCUUUUUAUUUUUAUGUCAACAACUUAGCCACUUUCAGACCAACUCAGAAGUAAUGAGGAAAUCCAGGGUUAUUAAACUCAUUUCAGGGUUGUAAACACCCACCAUUUGUCUUCCUAUUGUGAGUUCUAAAUUCCAGGUGAUCUUAUUUAGUUUCCAGGCCAUGGUGGGGCAGGAGAACACUGAUUGGAAAAAUUGUCUCUAUAUGAAGAGUAUUAACAUUGUUGCUAUGUAUCCGGAAAUAAUUUCCUAUUUGUGUCUUAACUUGCAGCCUCUCUGUAUUGCACAUUUUGCACUGCAUAAAUUUUUUACCUAAAUUCUACAUGUGAAGAAACUAUGUUAAAAAAAAUCCAGUGGGAAUAAACUAACAUCUUAAUUGGUUGUAAUUAAUAACCAUAAUUCAGUUGAAAUUCUAAUAGAAAUAGAAAGCAAUUGAAUUUGUUUUCCUUGAAGUUCAGGUCACAAGAUUUUUCAUUAGCUACAAAGCCUGUGUCCCUGGAUGAACUGAUCUUUAUAUCAGAGAAAUAUCUGGAAAAUUGCCAGUCUAGCAACCCCAAAAUCUGACCAAUAGCAUUGACCCUGAAAUAAUUGCUGGGAUCUCUUUGGUUCAUAACUCUAUUUUGAAAAUGAAAGAAAUACAUAUAGGAGUUAAAAAAAAAAACUUCAGGCAAUACAAAGAGCAAAAAAUAAAAAUGUUAUCUUUUUUACUAUUAAUUUCUGCUUCCCCCAGCCCAGAUUUUAUUAUAUGAAACAGGGGCUGACAAACUACAGCCCAGGGACCCAAUCUAGCCCUCCACUUGUUUUUGUAAAUAAAGUUUUAUUGGAACAUAGGUGAUAUGGUUUGGCUCUGUGUCCCCACCUGAAUCUCAUCUCGAAUUGUAAUCCCCACAUGCCGAGGGAGGGAAGUGUUUGGAUCAUGCGGGCAGUUUUUCCCAUGCUGUUCUCGUAAUAGUGAGUGAGUUCUCAUGAGAUCUGAUUGUUUUAUAAGUGUCUGGCAUUUUAUCUGCUCACACUCACUCUGUCCUGUCUCUGCUUAGACUCACUCCGUCCUGUCGCCUUGUGAAGAAAGUGCUUGCUUCCCCUUCUCCUUCUGCCAUGAUUGUAAGUUUCCUGAGGCUUCCCCAGCCAUGCGAAACUGUGAAUCAAUUAAACCUCUUUUCUUUAUAAACUACCCAGUCUCAGGUAUUUCUUUAUAGCCAUGUGAAAGCAGACUAAUAGAACAACCACUCUUACUCCUUUUUUGUAUUAUCUAUGGCUGCUUUCUUGAUGCCACAGCAGAGUAAGUAGUUUUAAGAGAGACUGUAUGGCCUAAAAAAUUUACCAUCUAGUCCCUUAUGGAAAAGUUUACCGACCCCUGAAAAAUGACAGUAGACUACACACAUUGUUCUACCACUUGCUUUCUCACUUAAUAAUAGUGAUACAUUCAAGAUAUAUAUAGAUCUACUUCUGUCUUUAUAGUGAUGGAACAGUAUUUGUUUAAACAGAUUCCAUAAUUUGUUUAACCAGUCUUUUAGGUUGUUUUCUGGUUUUUGCUAUCAUAAAAGAUGUCAUUUUCAUGCAUUUGUGCCAAGCACAUCUGUUGGGACAGUUUUUACAGGUGAAAUUAACAGCGCAAAAGUUCUGUGCAUUUUUAAUUUUAAUCAGCAUUGCCAGUCAAAUACAAA
rnacentral:lncRNA from 1 species